GUUGAAACAAAAAUAAAACAUUGUUUGUUUCAGACCAUUGCAAGGGCAUUCCAUCCUUAUGAAAACCAGAGCUACACAGAGUACAGCAGACAACACAUGGUGACACAGCCUGUUAUCCUAGUGCUCAGAAGAUGGAAAAAUGAGGCUCAGAAUUAAAAGGACAGCACUCCUGUGUGAAAGCACCCUGGGUCAUCGAGUGGCAUUCAGUGAAGUUUGCUAGAACUUUUACAAACAUCAUUCCAGACAGUUUUAGAAACUUUAGAAACCCAGAAAGUCAAGCUAGCUCACAAAGUUUCAGAUUACUUUACCAGACUGGCAAGUUCUGCAUGAAGUCUCAACUAGUCUCCAUUUAGCAAUGUCAAUUAUAGCAUCUCUAAGAAUAUCUGAACCACUUAUCAGUGAGUACAUAUCAUGUGAGUUCUUUUGUGAUUGG